rnacentral:rRNA from 1 species
UACGAAGGGGGCUAGCGUUGCUCGGAAUUACUGGGCGUAAAGAGUGUGUAGGCGGUGCUCUAAGUCUGUUGUGAAAUCUCCCGGCUUAACUGGGAGGGUGCGGCGGAGACUGGAGUGCUAGGAGUGUGGAGAGGUAAGCGGAAUUCCUGGUGUAGCGGUGAAAUGCGUAGAUAUCAGGAGGAACACCUGUGGUGUAGACAGCUUACUGGACCACGACUGACGCCGAGACACGAAAGCGUGGGUAGCAAACAGG